AUUGAACGCUGGCGGCCGGCUUAACACAUGCAAGUCGAGCGAGCGGCGGACGGGUGAGUAAUGUCUGGGAACCUGCCUGAUGGAGGGGGAUAACUACUGGAAACGGUAGCUAAUACCGCAUACCAUCAGCUGUGCCCCUGUGGGAUUAGCUAGUAGGGGGGGUAAUGGCUCACCUAGGCGCCGAUCCCUAGCUGGUCUGAGAGGAUGACCAGCAACACUGGAACUGAGAAACGGUCCAGACUCCUACGGGAGGCAGCAGUGGGGAAUAGUGGACAAUGGGCGCAAGCCGGAUGCAGCCAUGCCGCGUGGGUGAAGAAGGCCUUCGGGUUGUAAAGCACUUGCAGCGAGGAGGCGGUACUCGCAGAAGAAGCACCGGCUAACUCCGUGCCAGCAGCCGCGGUAAUUC
rnacentral:rRNA from 1 species